UCCACUUAAGUACUCUGGAGGAGCGCUUCUCUCGCCUGUGGACACAGUGUCAACGCUGUCAGGGCUCUCUCCAUGAGGAUGUGCUCUGUACCAGCCGGGACUGUCCCAUAUUCUACAUGAGGAAGAAGGUGCAGAAAGAUCUGGAUGAUCAGGAGAAGCUGGUGUCUCGCUUUGGAUGGUGAGAGGCAGAACCAACUGAGACUCCAUAUUCACCGGCUCCCCUCUCUCUCCCCACUCUUUCUCAGACUCUCUCCCUCUCCUUGAAAGGAUUUGUACUGUAUUUUCUUCUUAUAAGAAUUGUAAAUGUUACACUUAGACUUUUUUCUUGAAUUAUGAAUCUAAAUAAAUGGCAUCUUUUUUUAGAAA